rnacentral:rRNA from 1 species
UAGGGAAUCUUCGGCAAUGGACGAAAGUCUGACCGAGCAACGCCGCGUGAGUGAAGAAGGUUUUCGGAUCGUAAAACUCUGUUGGUAGAGAAGAACGUUGGUGAGAGUGGAAAGCUCAUCAAGUGACGGUAACUACCCAGAAAGGGACGGCUAAAUACGUGCCAC